rnacentral:rRNA from 1 species
AGAGUUUGAUCCUGGCUCAGGAUGAACGCUAGCGGCAGGCCUAAUACAUGCAAGUCGAACGGUGGGUAGCAAUACGCAUAGUGGCGCACGGGUGCGUAACACGUAACUAACCUACCUAUACCUGGGGGAUAGCCCGCCGAAAGGCGGAUUAAUACCGCAUACGCUCUUUACCUGGCAUCAGGUGAUUAGUAAAGAUUUAUUGGGUAUAGAUGGGGUUGCGGGUCAUUAGCUAGUUGGUUGGGUAACGGCUGACCAAGGCGACGAUGACUAGGGGAGCUGAGAGGCUGGUCCCCCACACGGGCACUGAGAUACGGGCCCGACUCCUACGGGAGGCAGCAGUAGGGAAUAUUGGGCAAUGGGCGAGAGCCUGACCCAGCCAUGCCGCGUGCAGGAAGAAGGCUUUCUGAGUCGUAAACUGCUUUUGACAGGGAAGAAUAAGCUUCACGUGUGGAGUGAUGACGGACCUGCAGAAUAGGCACCGGCUAACUCCGUGCCAGCAGCCGCGGUAAUACGGAGGGUGCGAGCGUUGUCCGGAUUUAUUGGGUUUAAAGGGUGCGUAGGCGGCUUUUUAAGUCUGGGGUGAAAGCCCGCUGCUCAACAGCGGAACUGCCCUGGAUACUGGAGAGCUUGAGUACAGACGAGGUUGGCGGAAUGGACGGAGUAGCGGGAAAUGCAUAGAUACCGUCCAGAACCCCCG